rnacentral:rRNA from 1 species
AACGCUGGCUGCGUGCUUAACACAUGCAAGUCGAACGCUGAAGCCCCAGCUUGCUGGGGUGGAUGAGUGGCGAACGGGUGAGUAACACGUGAGUAACCUGCCCCUGACUUCGGGAUAAGCCCGGGAAACUGGGUCUAAUACCGGAUACGACCUGUCCUCGCAUGAGGGUGGGUGGAAAGUUUUUUCGGUUGGGGAUGGGCUCGCGGCCUAUCAGUUUGUUGGUGAGGUAAUGGCUCACCAAGACGACGACGGGUAGCCGGCCUGAGAGGGCGACCGGCCACACUGGGACUGAGACACGGCCCAGACUCCUACGGGAGGCAGCAGUGGGGAAUAUUGCACAAUGGGGGAAACCCUGAUGCAGCGACGCAGCGUGCGGGAUGACGGCCUUCGGGUUGUAAACCGCUUUCAGCAGGGAAGAAGCGAAAGUGACGGUACCUGCAGAAGAAGUACCGGCUAACUACGUGCCAGCAGCCGCGGUAAUACGUAGGGUACGAGCGUUGUCCGGAAUUAUUGGGCGUAAAGAGCUCGUAGGUGGUUGGUCACGUCUGCUGUGGAAACGCAACGCUUAACGUUGCGCGUGCAGUGGGUACGGGCUGACUAGAGUGCAGUAGGGGAGUCUGGAAUUCCUGGUGUAGCGGUGAAAUGCGCAGAUAUCAGGAGGAACACCGGUGGCGAAGGCGGGACUCUGGGCUGUAACUGACACUGAGGAGCGAAAGCAUGGGGAGCGAACAGGAUUAGAUACCCUGGUAGUCCAUGCCGUAAACGUUGGGCACUAGGUGUGGGGGACAUUCCACGUUCUCCGCGCCGUAGCUAACGCAUUAAGUGCCCCGCC